UCUUAAAAAAUUCCUAAACAUGGAAUCCAAAAUCAAUUUUGUUCCUGAAAACAAAACCAUAACCAAAACCCCAGAUCGUUCUCCUUCUAAUCGUUUCUCCCAGAACCCGUGAUUCAAUCUCAAGGUUUCAACAAUUUCUUCGAUCGGUAACCAAUUUCUUCGAUCUGUAAACAUUUUUCAAUCUCAAUUGUGAACCAUUUUUUUUCUCCUUCUUAAGUGGUAAUGAUAAUCUGAAAAACCCCUAAAUCGAAUAUUGAAUCUUGUUUUCCUGCUGGUAAUAAUGGGUAAGCUAAUGCCAUUGUCACAAGGAGCACAAUCUGAAUUUCUUGAUUCCCUUACAACAGAUGUUAAUAAAUGUGUUGAAGCUCUGCAAGAGUUUCAGGAAAGCAUCUCCAGAAUCUUUAAUGCUGCAUGUUGAUCAGCUCACUAGGAAUGUGAAUGAGGGACAUCUGAAGGAGAUUUUUGGUAA